rnacentral:rRNA from 1 species
UGGGGAAUAUUGGACAAUGGGCGCAAGCCUGAUCCAGCAACGCCGCGUGAGUGAUGAAGGCCUUCGGGUUGUAAAGCUCUUUCGCACGCGACGAUGAUGACGGUAGCGUGAGAAGAAGCCCCGGCUAACUUCGUGCCAGCAGCCGCGGUAAUACGAAGGGGGCGAGCGUUGUUCGGAAUUACUGGGCGUAAAGGGCGCGUAGGCGGUGUGUCAAGUCAGGCGUGAAAGCCCCGAGCUCAACCUGGGAACGGCGCUUGAGACUGGCACGCUCGAGUUCGGGAGAGGAUGGUGGAAUUCCCAGUGUAGAGGUGAAAUUCGUAGAUAUUGGGAAGAACACCGACGGCGAAGGCAGCCAUCUGGACCGACACUGACGCUGAGGCGCGAAAGCGUGGGGAGCAAACAGGAUUAGAUACCCUGGUAGUCCACGCCGUAAACGAUGAGUGCUAGACGUCGGGGCCCUCAGGGCUUCGGUGUCGCCGCUAACGCAUUAA